GAUGAACGCUGGCGGCGUGCCUAAUACAUGCAAGUCGAGCGAACGGACGAGAAGCUUGCUUCUCUGAUGUUAGCGGCGGACGGGUGAGUAACACGUGGAUAACCUACCUAUAAGACUGGGAUAACUUCGGGAAACCGGAGCUAAUACCGGAUAAUAUUUUGAACCGCAUGGUUCAAAAGUGAAAGACGGUCUUGCUGUCACUUAUAGAUGGAUCCGCGCUGCAUUAGCUAGUUGGUAAGGUAACGGCUUACCAAGGCAACGAUGCAUAGCCGACCUGAGAGGGUGAUCGGCCACACUGGAGCUGGGACACGGUCCAGACUCCUACGGGAGGCAGCAGUAGGGAAUCUUCCGCAAUGGGCGAAAGCCUGACGGAGCAACGCCGCGUGAGUGAUGAAGGUCUUCGGAUCGUAAAACUCUGUUAUUAGGGAAGAACAUAUGUGUAAGUAACUGUGCACAUCUUGACGGUACCUAAUCAGAAAGCCACGGCUAACUACGU
rnacentral:rRNA from 1 species